UUUUACUAUGAAGAAUAGUGUUUGCUUCAAUGUAUCAAGAUAUUUCACAGGUGUAAGAUACACAUUUCACCAGAAAUUCAUCUGCAUGCAUGGCGACAGACGCCAUAAAGGAGCUAUAAAAACAAACACAGGAUGCAGUGUAACAAUGGACAUGAAAAUCAAGCUCAUCACAAGAGACACCUACAAGAGAGAUAAGGAUGUCAGGACCCAUCCAUGUAUGAUCAUCAUAAAGGGUGUCCACAAUCAUCCUACAGACUCUGCAUCUGCUCUGCAACAACUGAGAGUUUUACCAGACACCAAGAAUGCUUACUUCAAGUACUUCAAUAUUGGCAUGUCUGUAGCGCAGGCUGCAAGAUGUUACCAAGAUCAAAUAAAUGUCAGUGCAAGUCUCGCUACUAAGGCCAAUUCUGCCAUAAAUCC